rnacentral:guide_RNA from 1 species
AUAUAUAAUGUCAUCAAUGAGUCAUGUUCGUCGAGUAAUUGUAAUAAU